rnacentral:rRNA from 1 species
AUUGAACGCUGGCGGCAUGCUUUACACAUGCAAGUCGAACGGCAGCACGGGAGCAAUCCUGGUGGCGAGUGGCGAACGGGUGAGUAAUGUAUCGGAACGUACCUUUCAGUGGGGGAUAACGUAGGGAAAGUUACGCUAAUACCGCAUAUUCUGUGAGCAGGAAAGCAGGGGAUCGCAAGACCUUGCGCUGAUUGAGCGGCCGAUAUCAGAUUAGCUAGUUGGUGAGGUAAAGGCUCACCAAGGCGACGAUCUGUAGCGGGUCUGAGAGGAUGAUCCGCCACACUGGAACUGAGACACGGUCCAGACUCCUACGGGAGGCAGCAGUGGGGAAUUUUGGACAAUGGGCGCAAGCCUGAUCCAGCCAUGCCGCGUGAGUGAAGAAGGCC